rnacentral:rRNA from 1 species
CCUACGGGUGGCAGCAGUGGGGAAUAUUGGACAAUGGGGGCAACCCUGAUCCAGCCAUGCCGCGUGUGUGAAGAAGGCCCUCGGGUUGUAAAGCACUUUCAGUGAGGAAGAACGCCUGGUGGUUAAUACCCAUCAGGAAAGACAUCACUCACAGAAGAAGCACCGGCUAACUCCGUGCCAGCAGCCGCGGUAAUACGGAGGGUGCGAGCGUUAAUCGGAAUUACUGGGCGUAAAGCGCGCGUAGGUGGCUUGAUAAGCCGGUUGUGAAAGCCCCGGGCUCAACCUGGGAACGGCAUCCGGAACUGUCAAGCUAGAGUGCAGGAGAGGAAGGUAGAAUUCCCGGUGUAGAGGUGAAAUGCGUAGAGAUCGGGAGGAAUACCAGUGGCGAAGGCGGCCUUCUGGACUGACACUGACACUGAGGUGCGAAAGCGUGGGUAGCAAACAGGAUUAGAUACCCCUGUAGUC